CACCGCUCGUCGCUACUACCGAUUGAAUGAUUUAGUGAGGUCUUCGGACCGGUGCGGUGUUUUACUACGUGGCUGAUGUUGCUGGGAAGAUGACCAAACUUGAUCAUUUCGAGGAAGUAAAAGUCAGAACAAGGUUUCCGUAGGUGAACCUGCGGAAG
rnacentral:ncRNA from 1 species